CCUACGGGUGGCAGCAGUGGGGAAUGUUGGACAAUGGGCGCAAGCCUGAUCCAGCUAUUCCGCGUGUGGGAUGACGGCCUUCGGGUUGUAAACCACUUUUGUAGAGAACGAAAAGUCUGUUGAUAAUACCGAUAGAUGAUGACGGUACUCUAAGAAUAAGCACCGGCUAACUACGUGCCAGCAGCCGCGGUAAUACGUAGGGUGCGAGCGUUAAUCGGAAUUACUGGGCGUAACGGGUGUGCAGGCGGUUUGGCAAGAUGGAUGUGAAAGCCCCGGGCUUAACCUGGGAAAGCCAUACAUGACUGCAAGACUAGAGUGCGUCAGAGGGGGGUGGACUUCCAAGUGUAGCAGUGAAAUGCGUAGAUAUUUGGCAGAACACCGAUGGCGAAGGCAGCCCCCUGGGACGCAACUGACGCUCAUCCACGAAAGCGUGGGGAGCAAACAGGAGUAGAUACCCGAGUAGUC
rnacentral:rRNA from 1 species